CAAAAUAUGAUAAAACUUAAAAGAUGAACAAAUUAUACAGUUAUACAAAACAUUACACGAAUAAGUUAAGUAAUAUAAAUCUUAAUAAAAUAUAAAAAAUCAAAUAAAACCUGUAAAGUCUAUUAUUUACAUUAAUGCCAUCGACUAGUUUACAAGAAUAGAUAUUUUGUUCGAAUCAAUUUUUUAUGUAUUAUGUAUAUAUAAAUAUAUAGACACUAUAUGUCAGAAAAUGGUUUAGUCGCCAUCUUGUAAAUUUAAAGUGGCGUUCAAGAUCGUUUCGCGCAUGUUUUGUUUAGGCCAGCUUUGAAAACUUGGACACAUUUUAUAAUAGCGGACAGACAUCCUCUAUCUGACAUAUCAACUCUUUUAGUAUAAGCAAAAGAUGAACCAUUCCGGGUGAAAUUAGUCAGAAUGGCGUGACAUAUUCUGCCAAUUGUCUGGGUAACAAAUCAUGCAUGAUUGAUUUUUAUGAUUGUCCGCCACUAUUAUUUGAGACCGGUCAUUAUUUAUGGCGUGGGGUAGCACCGAAGAGAAAUGCUUUUCUUGCUAAAAAUGUUGCUGAUCCAACCAUUACAAACUCAAAAUUUCUUUUAACCCAACCUCAAAUAGCAAUUAAAAAUUAAAUACCCACCCCUGGCCAAAAACGUUACACUGAGGAUACCAUUCAGUUGUCACACAUGUCCUUUACCACUUCCGUGACACGAGUUUGAUGACUGCUUGUGCAAUUUUGGCAGACUAUAAAGUUUCAUGUCAUUGUCUGUACAUGUAGUUUCUUUGAAGACACCGGUUGCCUCCUGAAAAAUCGGAAAAUUAUCAAGAUGCCGUGACUCUGAUUGAUUUACAUAUUUUAUCGACAUACGACUGUUGACAUUGCUUUUUAGUCUUCAAUAUUUGAGUGAGUCAUGCUUUGGAAAUGACAAUAAUUUUUUUAUUACCCAACCCUUGAAUUGUUUUGUUUUUCAUUUACCCAACCUUCUACUCACUCAAAAUUUUGCUUGCCCAAUCUUGAGUGCGACCCCCGCCAUAAAUAAUGACCGGUUCCGCUAAUGCCAUAUUUAUAAACAUAGACAGACUGCGAUAAACAGCGUACUUACAUACCGGACGUAUGCCAAUAUUACAGUCUGGUAAUUCUUUGUUUUCAGCCAAGUGCGUACUUACAUUUUGCUACAUAGCACGGUAUGGCCAGCAAACUUUUGCAAAAUUUUUGAAAUAUAAUCAGACGUGAUCUAUAUCAGGGUUCGUAGUCUCCAAGAGGCAAGACCAAAAAAAUUCAAAGACUUUCAAAGAUUUUUUCUGCCUAAAGACUUUUCAAAGACCUUUGAGAGCAAUCAGUGUCGAAAAAUUGCAAUGUAUAAGCACCAAUUUUUGCCAGGUAAUUAGUCCCGUCAAAUCACAUCCUAAAAUGCACUUUUUGACUUUUUCGUCGAUAUUUGUGAAAAUAUUGCUUCAAUCAAUCUAUUUUAUUAGCU